rnacentral:rRNA from 1 species
AGCGAACGCUGGCGGCAGGCUUAACACAUGCAAGUCGAACGCCCCGCAAGGGGAGUGGCAGACGGGCGAGUAACACGUGGGAACGUACCCUUUGGUUCGGAAUAACUUGGGGAAACUCAAGCUAAUACCGGAUAAGCCCUUAUGGGGAAAGGUUUACUGCCGAAGGAUCGGCCCGCGUCUGAUUAGCUAGUUGGUGAGGUAAUGGCUCACCAAGGCGACGAUCAGUAGCUGGUCUGAGAGGAUGAUCAGCCACACUGGGACUGAGACACGGCCCAGACUCCUACGGGAGGCAGCAGUGGGGAAUAUUGGACAAUGGGGGCCAACCUGAUCCAGCCAUGCCGCGUGAGUGAUGAAGGCCUUAGGGUUGUAAAGCUCUUUUACCCGGGACGAUAAUGACUGUACCGGGAGAAUAAGCCCCGGCUAACUUCGUGCCAGCAGCCGCGGUAA